CCCCAAGCCUCGCCUAUCGCCCGGAGGAAAGUUGCGCUGUGCUGCCCGCACUCGCCUCGCCCCCGACGCCGCCGCCGGAGCCCCCGUAGGGCCCGAGACCCCGCGCCCUCAGCGCUCCAGCCCGGCUCAGGCGUGGACAGGGCGGGCGCCGGGGCGGGGCGCGCGUCCUCGCCAGUUUGAAUGGAAGGAUCCAGAUCUGCGGAGACGGCGGCCAGCAGAUACUGAGGCCAGCGCUCCUCCCCAGCCCCCGCGCCCGAGACAUGCGGCGGGAGAGGUGCGGCGCCCCCCGCCCGCGUCCCCGCCAUGGAGGUGCUGCGGCGCUCCUCGGUCUUCGCCGCCGAGAUCAUGGACGCCUUUGACCGCUCGCCCACCGACAAGGAGCUGGUGGCCCAGGCCAAGGCGCUCGGCCGGGAGUUCGUGCACGCGCGGCUGCUGCGCGCCGGCCUCGCCUGGAGCGCGCCGGAGCGCGCCGCGCCCGCCCCCGGCGGCCGCCUGGCCGAAGUGUGCACGGUGCUGCUGCGCCUGGCGGACGAGCUGGAGCUGAUCCGGCCCAGUGUCUACCGCAACGUGGCCCGCCAGCUGAACAUCCCCCUGCAGUCCGAGACCGUGGUGACCGACGCCUUCCUGGCUGUGGCGGCCCAGAUCGUUUCUGCAGAGCAAAAUAUUUCACCACGGAAAGAUCAGAAAACACAUGAGAUAAAGAACUCUCAGAAAUCAGUACUAAAAAGACCACCUCACUUUAAAAAGAGCAAAGGGUCUGAAUGGACAUCUCUUCAAGGAAGAUGUAUGAACAGCCAGUACGUGCAUGAGAGGUUGCUCAGUAUCAUCAGUCGCCAGGGAAACACCCAUCAAACCACAACAAGAUGCCACCUCGCGCCCACUGGGGCACUCAAGGCAAAACUUCAGAGAACUCAGCACGGGUGAGGCUGUGAAGAGUCAGGGCGUGAAGUGGUCUGGCAGCUUCUCCAAUGGUAACUCUGAUGGGGUCACCCCCUGACCCGGCAGUUCCGCUCCUCGGUUUUGACCCCUGAGAAAGGAAGCCACAUGUCCACACAAGGGCUUGCACACGAGUGUUCAGAGCCGCGUAUCCCCACGGCCGGAGGGGCCAACAGCCCACGUGCUCGUUUCCUGAUGGGUGGUCCAUCCACUCGAUGGAACGUUAUUCGGCCGUAACAAGGAAUGAGGUGCUCACACCAGGACAGCACGGAGGAACCUUGAAAACAUUUUGCUCAGUGAACGGAGUCAGACACAAAGUGGGACCUACUGUGUGACUGCAUUCGUGAAACGUCCAGAACAGGAACCUUGUACAACUGGCAAGCACUGUUCCCCAGACUGUCAUUCAUCUGUCUUUCCUCCCAGGUGGGCUCCAUCUCAGUUCUGCCCCCAGUAGCUUGGUGGUCUGGGCAAGGCCAUUCCUCCCGGGGCCUCAGCUUCUUUACAUGGAGAACAUCCUCUGUCCUCGCAGGGCUGUGCUGGGGGCAGGCGCAGAUGGAAGCUGCUUCCUGUUUAUCACAUCCAGUGCCGAGUCACUGAGCCCCCUUGACCUGCUCAGCCUCCUCUUUGCCUUUCUGCUCCAUCACCUCCUCCAGCAGAUACAGGGCUGUGCAGGGUCAUCGCCAGGCCCUGGCCCAGGUGUGCAGGAAUCACCUGGGGCAAGGUUGUGUCCCUGUACUCAGUGGCUGCGGGGCUGGCCGUGGACUGCGUGCGACAGGCCCAGCCCGCCCUGGUCCACGCCCUCGUUGACUGCCUCGGGGAGUUCGUACGCAAGACCCUGG